rnacentral:rRNA from 1 species
UUUUUCGGCCUUCGGGAUUAUUGGGCGUAAGAGCUCGUAGGCGGUUUGUCGCGUCUGCUGUGAAAGCCCGGGGCUCAACCCCGGGUCUGCAGUGGGUACGGGCAGACUAGAGUGCAGUAGGGGAGACUGGAAUUCCUGGUGUAGCGGUGAAAUGCGCAGAUAUCAGGAGGAACACCGAUGGCGAAGGCAGGUCUCUGGGCUGUUACUGACGCUGAGGAGCGAAAGCAUGGGGAGCGAACAGGAUUAGAUACCCUGGUAGUCCAUGCCGUAAACGUUGGGCACUAGGUGUGGGGGACAUUCCACGUUUUCCGCGCCGUAGCUAACGCAUUAAGUGCCCCGCCUGGGGAGUACGGCCGCAAGGCUAAAACUCAAAGGAAUUGACGGGGGCCCG